rnacentral:tRNA from 1 species
GGUUCUGUGGUCUAGUGGUAUGAUUCUUGCUUUGGGACCCACUCAAGUUUGCAAGAGGCCCCGGGUUCAAACCCCGGCAGAGCCC